rnacentral:pre_miRNA from 1 species
UGCAUACUCCCUCCGUUCGGAAUUACUUAUCUCGGAUAUGGAUGUAUCUAGAACUAAAAUACGUCUAGAUACAUCCAUUUCUGCGACAAGUAAUUCCGAACAGAGGGAGUAGGUG